CCAAAUCCUAUCUCUUCACCGCCGACUUGCACCUUCAGGUUUUUCUUGGAAGAUUCCCAACCACUCUGGUCGUUGGUUUAGGUUUUGUGCAGCGUCGCGUCACUUCCGUGAAUCUUCCCCGUUAUUGCACUCUAAUUCGAAGGGUUAUGAAGAUGAGAUAUGUUUGUUGGGAGUGGACUGAGAGAGAAAAAAAUGAUGUCUUCAUCUUUGAUUGUGGUCGUCUCUGUCGCUAUGUCUCCCAAACCCUAGGGAUUCAACUUGGAUCUCCAUAAUAU